AGGGGAUGAAAAGGAAGGGGUGCCGCAGCUUGCACAGAAGAAGAAGAAACUGGUGCCUAAGGUCACACUGAUAAUAGAUGAAGUGAUGGAGCAAGGAUUCAACCGCCAGCAGUUCGGUUCCUCAGCCUACUCCACUAAUUUCCAAAGUUACUCAGAUCAGCACUUUCCUCGCUCCUCUUUCACCCCCGAUCUCAUAUGCUACUCAUGACCAUCUGUUACACCUUAGAGGGAAUCUAAAUCAUCUAAUCACUAAAUGAUGCGCCCACUGCUUCAUCUCUACUUAUACAGUGAAAGAUCAUCGCUUUCAUCAAAGGUAUUUUGAGCAUCAAAUUGGAAAUCCUGGGAAACUCCUGGGCGUGGAGGACCUCAGAUGUCACCCUGCAGCUUUCUCUGUCUCUGAGAACAGAUCUAGAGCCUUAGUGCCAUCGCCACUACAGAUGGGCUAAAUUCAAGGACUGAUGACUACUCAAGGCUGCUAUGGAGUUAAAAUAAAUAGCAUAAGAACAUGAAUGUGACACAAUAAGGUUUUACUGGAAGAAGAGUUAGUUUUAAAAUGACAACAAUUGUAGGAAAAGCCAAAAUUUAUUAUAUACAAAAAAACAAAAGCUGUUGACAUAGUGUUCCUAACCUUUUUU
rnacentral:lncRNA from 10 species